CACUCCAGUCUGGGUGACAGAACGAGACUCCCUCUCAUAAGUAAUAAAAUAAAAUAAAGGGAGGAACACAGACCUGUUCUGUGGCAUCUUGUUUGGAUUACUGGCUUUUAGUUUUUUUGUUUUGAGAAAGCAGACCACACCAGUCUCCAAUAUGUAUUUCCUUUCCCUCUCAUGACAAAAGAGACCAUUAGCAACCUUUCAAAGUUACUCCCAUAUCCCCACUGAGGAUAGGUUUGAGAUUAGGGCCUGCUUCUCACCCAGCCUCCAUCCAAACUGCAGGUAAGACUGGUUUGUUAUGGCCUCAAUGGGAAGAGUGCAGGAACACAGUGGCUGAUGUGAAGGUGAGCCCAGGAGUCAGACCAGGUACUGACCAUGAGGACUGAAGGGCAUGGUCAGUACCUGGUCACCAUAAGGUCUGGGUCUGGACUCACAGCACAUCAAGUGCAUUGCAGUCCCUGACCCACCCUGGAGGGCAGCACCCUAUGGGCAGAUACCUUCAGUCCCUAAGACCCUGAACCCAGAGAAAAAGGUUGCUCUGGUGUCUUGCACUCUUGCCUUAGGAUCUCUCAGGUAACAAGGUGGGGUUUUGUUUGUGUAAAUAUUGAUGGUCACGCAUGUGAGAUCCUGUACAGGAACAGGCUCAGCAGGUGACAAACACUUGCAGACUGAAGGAAUGUCCCAGUCCCCAGCCCCAGUGUACCGGCUUUCCCCAGGGCAGGCUGUGGCCUUUCCUCAUGCUCUCCCUUAAGGUGUUCUGGCGGCGGAUCAGAAUCUCUUUAGCCUGCUUCUCACUCGUUUGGGGUUUGAGGUUAUAUUUGUUGUAGGACAGGGUCUGCAGAGAAAAUGGAAUGUCAAAUAUGUAAGGACUCCUUCGUACAACUUUCAGCCAAGGAAGCCACGGAAACAUCAGGAACCUAAGACCAAAAGAACAGGUGAGCACCUUGGAGGUCAGCUAAGCAUUUGAUUACGAAUGAGCAAGUUUCAGUCCUAGGAAGAAAAGUGUGUGACCCCAGGUCAUGCUGCUCUUAGGGCAGAGCUGUGGCUGGAGCCUCUGCCUUCUGCUCUAACCCUUACAGCGGUCCUUCCCUUAGUUACCCACAGACUCGGCCUGCCCCAUACAUACACUUUCCUUUCCAGGUCAUGUUUUGGAUGCCAGGCCAGUGAAUUUAAUAAGAAAGGAAAAUAUCAAAACUAAACUACUUUGGGACUUUCCAUAGGGCUGUUGUCUUUUAAUUUUACCAAUUAAGGAUACCUACACAUGCAUGCGUGCGCACACACACACACACACAAUUUCUAUCAACCAUUAUCAUCAUCAAUUCAGAAAGAAAGUCUCUUAACCAAAGUCACAAGAAGAACAUAAUUUGAGAUUUAAAAAAAAAUAGUCCUUCAAAUUGAAUCAAUUUAGCUUUAUGAGAACAUCUUCCUUGUCCUUUACCCCAGACCAAUGGAAACUUGUCAUGGACCCUAGGCCAACAUUAGUCAGUCCUCAGACAAAUGUUUGCAAAAUGCUUAACUGAAAUUUCUUCUCCUUUUUGGUGCUCACUAAAGGCCCACCAGCAAAUGCUCAGUUUGCCAGUAGGUGACACACUGUGUGCACUGAUAAACCACAAAGUCCUGGUAGAUGACAGGAUCAGGACCGCAGGGGCUCUCCCUCCCAAGUGACGGAUGCUGUGAUGGGGAUAGUCAGUUCCACUUCAAUAGAGAAAAUGCUGUAUGUGCCCUCAGGUGCUGUGGAAGGCACAGGAUUAAAUAAGUGAGUACAUUAGAACUACAGUCUUCAAAAGGCUUACAGUUUCCUGGAAAAGUCAAAUCAAUAGGGAUAAGAUGCUGUGCAUGCAGGUAAGUGAUAAGAUUCUGGGAUCAUCAGGGGUCGUAGAGUACAGGCAAAAGGCACUUCAUCCAGUCUUGGAUGGGAAAAGUUCAGUGUACUGAGAUAAGUCUUGAAAGAUGAGUGAGUGUUAUCCUGGGAAUAAAUUCCAGGAAGAGAAAACACAUGAGCUAAGACGUCAGCUGGUAACCACCUUGGAGGUGAGAGGACAGUCAGAGGAUGUGCUGGAAAAGAGCCAGGAAUGAGUCUGUUACACACAAAAAAAUGGGGUGCUUCAUUCAAAGUGUGUGAGAGGUGAGACUGGAGGGGCAUGGAGGGGCUGGGGUCAGGCCACAGGUAGCCUGCCAAGGAGUACAGGCUGCAUUUUUCAGGCCAUGUGUUUUUUAGGUGGGUGCACACACUCCAAAAAGUGCCACAAGAUGCCCCACAGGGUGAGAAAGAAAAUACUGAUACUUCUAUUUCUAUUGAUCUUUAUCCAAACAAAUACAAAGCAUAUUAAGCUCUAUUAGUACUUAAUAUAUGAAUGUAUAACGGGCCCUCACUCAGUCCAUACAUGAGACAGUCAAGUCAACAAGGGAUUCACAAUGGCAUCCUCAUAGGUUUCACCAGCUUGCAGUUCAUUGUGUUUCAGUGUGUGUGCAUCCAGUUAAGUAGAUGUGUGGUUUCCAUUAGCUAUUAACUAAAGUAACCCUCACAAAAUAGACAAUUGUAUUAAAAAAGUGUUGUAAAGAAGGUGUAAACUGGACUGCCAAGGUGGCUCACACCUCUAAUCCUAGCACUUCAGGAGGCCAAGACAUGUGGAUCACUGAGCCCAGUAGUUUGAGACCGACCUGGGCAAUGUGACUAAACCCUAUCUCUACAAAAAAUACAGAAAAAAAAAAAUAGCUGGAUGUGGUGGUGUGAACCUGCGGUCCUAACUACUCACGAAGCUGAGGUGGGAGAAACGCUUGAGUGUAGGAGGUCAAAGCCACAGUGAGCCGUGAUCAUGCCACCGCACUCUAGCCUGGGUGACAGAGUGAGAGUGACACCUGUCUCCAAGGGAAAAGAAAAGAAGGCAUAAACUAAAGGCCAAGGGAACAAUGAGGGAAGGGUAAAUCCAACUUUCUCCUCCCAAUGGGAGCUCUUUGUCAUCCACUUCUGACACAUUAACACAUCUGACAAGAAUUUUCCCCAAAAAGUUGAAAUUUGAAAAUAGUUUGAAAUAUGAAUUCUUAUCUAUCAUUAGUAAUGAUACACCUCAACCUAUGUGCAUUUUAUACAUUGAAAUAUUAAAUAUUAAAAAUGGUAACAUGACACAGUCGUGAAAAAUAAAACAAGAAUUAGGAAUAUAGAGACAAACUUUUACAAUUGUUUAUCAAUUUUAAAAUCAUGCAAAACUGAAUGCAGUGUGUGUGUGUGUGUGUGUGUGUGUGUGUAUACAUACAAUGUAUUGCUAGUAGGAUUUCCUACACCUAGACUUGGGAGGAGGUUGUACUUUUUAAGGAACACUUGGGCGGUUGGCUUCCUAUUUCACCUCCCAUAACCUGCCAUGACCCACGUGCUUCUCUAUUUUGCCUGUCUACAGGGGGCAUAGAAGCCUCUAUGCAUAUAAUGUGCAUGCAAGUUUCUUCCCUCCUCUCCCUCCAUUUCUGUGUUACAGUGGAGCUUGUACUUCCCACUGGACCUUGAGUCCUAAAAGAGAAAGAACUUUGUCUUAUUCAGUGCAGUGUUCCUGAUGCCCGGCACAUUCUAGAUGUGCAUUAACUGUUUGCUGAAGGAAACUGAAAUUGCUCCCUUCCUUUGAAAGCAUGUAGAAAUUCUGAGAGUAAUCUGAUUAUCCAGGCUACUCAGGAACCACCCAUCAAUCUGUGACCUAUCCUGGGGGUCUGGGCUGAAGCCAGUUUCUUCUCUUGUAAGUUUAGUCAUAGUAUUUCUCAACCUCCAUCCCCACUGUGUUUCAGAGAGCUUCCUCUGUGGUUGUCCUACCAGGAACCUCCAGAGGUGAGUCCUUUAAGUUUUCCACCCAUGAAGAUUCUGUCCUGGGUUUACUGAGUCGAAGGACUUCAAACAGAAUUGGCUGGAGUCCUCCUAGGAGCAACAGACCCAGCAGGGCCAGCUCAGUUUUGGAUCAACUCUGCAUUAGGGUCGCCCAGAGUCAAACUCUGCAUUCAUCCUGGUCCUGUUCUGAGGUAAAUCCCAAUGCCCAAGAUGGCCUCUUUCAAGAUGUGAUCAGUGAGAAAUGCCCUGGCUACCAGGGCUGCAUCUAUCAUCCAGGCUACAGAGGGCAGGAUGGCUAAGGUAGACUUUUCCUUCAAGAGAUCAAGAGGACCACGGUGGAAGACAGAAUUCUCAUGACCUUUGUAAAGCUGAGUAAGGAGAGGAAGACGGGAAGAGGUAGGACUGUCAAUACAACUGGGACAAGUGCACUGUGAUCAGUGUCCUGGUGCCAUCUUUGUUCUGUGGUGUGGUGGAUGAGCUUCUUUGCAGAGAGACCUGCUAGUUCUGGAAAGCACCAGGCUGCAGGGCUAGGGCAGCCUGCCCCCUAGAGACGCAGAGAGAAAAUAUUCAGCAAGAGUUCACCUUACAGAGGAUGACAUGAACAUCAGGGGACUCCUGAAGGACUGUUUUGAAGGACAGACAAGGGGGACAACACAGGUGGCUCAUACACACCCUUUGCCGAACUUGGUACAUGUUGGAUGUCAGAAUGUCCCUUAUGGACUCCACAUCUUCAGGGGAAAGUCUUUUGAUUCCUUGUAUCCUCUGGGCCCUGGAAUCGUUAUUGGAGAAGAGACAAACAUUAUUCUUUCAUUUGGCAAGAGGUGCCACAAAAAUAUCAGUGGGCCUUGCUCUGUACUGAGGGGAAUCCUAAGCUCCAGAAUCCUACAUAUAAUUUUCCUAUUGUUCUAGUAAGUUGAUUUGAAAUGUCAGAACACGUGUCUUGACUUCAGGUUUUGAAAAUACUGGUCCUUUGCCUAUAGCUUAUAUGUGGUAAUUAUUCCAACCCAUUUUUUGAAAAAGGUCUAAAGCGGUAACAAGUUUUUUUUUCCCCCACAAAUCUGUUAUGAACUGGAAUGUUUGUACGAUACAAUAAAAGUCAAUUGUUAGAAAAUGA